rnacentral:rRNA from 1 species
UACGUAGGCAGCAAGCGUUGUUCGGAAUUACUGGGCGUAAAGGGCUCGUAGGUGGCCAACUAAGUCGGACGUGAAAUCCCUCAGCUUAACUGGGGAACUGCGUCCGAUACUGGAUGGCUUGAGUUUGGGAGAGGGAUGCGGAAUUCCAAGUGUAGCGGUGAAAUGCGUAGAUAUCUGGAGGAACACCGGUGGCGAAGGCGGCAUCCUGGACCAACACUGACACUGAUGAGCGAAAGCCAGGGGAGCAAACGGG